rnacentral:rRNA from 1 species
AGGCUCCAGCUUGCUGGGGUACACGAGUGGCGAACGGGUGAGUAACACGUGGGUGACCUGCCCUGCACUUCGGGAUAAGCCUGGGAAACUGGGUCUAAUACCGGAUAGGACCGCACCGUGAGGGUGUGGUGGAAAGUUUUUUCGGUGUGGGAUGGGCCCGCGGCCUAUCAGCUUGUUGGUGGGGUAAUGGCCUACCAAGGCGGCGACGGGUAGCCGGCCUGAGAGGGUGGACGGCCACAUUGGGACUGAGACACGGCCCAGACUCCUACGGGAGGCAGCAGUGGGGAAUAUUGCACAAUGGGCGGAAGCCUGAUGCAGCGACGCCGCGUGGGGGAUGACGGCCUUCGGGUUGUAGACUCCUUUCACCAUCGACGAAGGGUUUCUGACGGUAGAUGGAGAAGAAGCACCGGCUAACUACGUGCCAGCAGCCGCGGUAAUACGUAGGGUGCGAGCGUUGUCCGGAAUUACUGGGCGUAAAGAGCUCGUAGGUGGUUUGUCGCGUCGUCUGUGAAGUUCCGGGGCUUAACUCCGGGCGUGCAGGCGAUACGGGCAUAACCUUGAGUACUGUAGGGGACCACUGGAACUUCCUGGUGUAGCGGUGAAAUGCGCAGAUAUCAGGAGGAACACCGGUGGCGAAGGCGGGUCUCUGGCAGUAACUGACGCUGAGGAGCGAAAGCAUGGGGAGCGAACAGGAUUAGAGUACCCUGGUAGUCCAUGCGCGUAAACGGUGGGCGCUAGGUGUGGUUUCCUUCCACGGGAUCCGUGCCGUA